rnacentral:rRNA from 1 species
GUAGAGUGGCGCACGGGUGAGUAACACGUAGGUAAUCUACCUUCGGGUGGGGAAUAACCCCGGGAAACCGGGGCUAAUACCGCAUAAUGCAGCGGCACCUAAUGGUGACAGUUGUUAAAGCGGGGGAUCGCAAGAUCUCGCGCCUGAAGAGGAGCCUGCGGCGGAUUAGCUAGUUGGCAGGGUAACGGCCUACCAAGGCGACGAUCCGUAGCCGGCCUGAGAGGGCGGUCGGCCACACUGACACUGACAUACGGGUCAGACUCCUACGGGAGGCAGCAGUCGGGAAUUUUGGGCAAUGGGCGAAAGCCUGACCCAGCAACGCCGCGUGAAGGAUGAAAUCCCUCGGGAUGUAAACUUCGCAAGAACGGGAAGAAUAAGUUUGUGCUAACACCACAAGCGAUGACGGUACUGUUUGUAAGCUCCGGCUAACUCCGUGCCAGCAGCCGCGGUAAUACGGGGGGAGCAAGCGUUGUUCGGAUUUACUGGGCGUAAGGGCGCGUAGGCGGCCUCCGCAAGUCAGUUGUGAAAUCUCCGAGCUUAACUCGGAAAGGUCAACUGAUACUGCGGGGCUAGAGUGCGGAAGGGGCAACUGGAAUUCUUGGUGUAGCGGUGAAAUGCGUAGAUAUCAAGAGGAACACCUGCGGCGAAGGCGGGUUGCUGGGCCGACACUGACGCUGAGGCGCGAAAGCUAGGGGAGCGAACGGGAUUAGAUACCCCGGUAGUCCUAGCCUUAAACGAUGAAUGCUUGGUGUCUGGGGUUAUAUAGUCCCCGGGUGCCGUCGCUAACGCUUUAAGCAUUCCGCCUGGGGAGUACGGUCGCAAGACUGAAACUCAAAGGAAUUGACGGGGACCCGCACAAGCGGUGGAGCAUGUGGUUUAAUUCGACGCAACGCGAAGAACCUUACCUGGGCUAGAAUGCCUCUGACAGCCCCAGAGAUGGGGUCUCCUAGGGAAACCUAGGCAGAGUGCAAGGUGCUGCAUGGCUGUCGUCAGCUCGUGUCGUGAGAUGUUGGGUUAAGUCCCGCAACGAGCGCAACCCUUAUCAAUAGUUGCCAGCGGUUCGGCCGGGCACUCUAUUGAGACUGCCGUUGACAAAACGGAGGAAGGUGGGGGAUGACGUCAAGUCCUCAUG